AAAAAAGGUAAGCUACUAAGAGCGAAUGGUGGAUGCCUUGACUGGUAAAGGCGAUGAAGGACGUACUAGACUGCGAUAAGCUACGGGGAGCUGUCAAGAAGCUUUGAUCCGUAGAUUUCCGAAUGGGGCAACCCAAUGUAUAGAGAUAUACAUUACCUAUAUAGGAGCGAACGAGGGGAAUUGAAACAUCUUAGUACCCUCAGGAAAAGAAAUCAAUAGAGAUUGCGUCAGUAGCGGCGAGCGAAAGCGCAAGAGGGCAAACCCAGUGCUUGCACUGGGGGUUGUAGGACUGCAAUGUGCAAGAGGUAAGUUUAGCAGAACAUUCUGGAAAGUAUAACCAUAGAGGGUGAUAGUCCCGUAUGCGAAAAACAAACCUUAGCUAGCAGUAUCCUGAGUAGGGCGGGACACGAGGAAUCCUGUCUGAAUCCGGGUCGACCACGAUCCAACCCUAAAUACUAAUACCAGAUCGAUAGUGCACAAGUACCGUGAGGGAAAGGUGAAAAGAACUGAGGUGAUCAGAGUGAAAUAGAACCUGAAACCAUUUGCUUACAAUCAUUCAGAGCCCUAUGUAGCAAUACAGGGUGAUGGACUGCCUUUUGCAUAAUGAGCCUGCGAGUUGUGGUGUCUGGCAAGGUUAAGCAAACGCGAAGCCGUAGCGAAAGCGAGUCUGAAUAGGGCGCUUAGUCAGAUGCUGCAGACCCGAAACGAAGUGAUCUAUCCAUGAGCAAGUUGAAGCUAGUGUAAGAACUAGUGGAGGACUGAACCCAUAGGCGUUGAAAAGCCCCGGGAUGACUUGUGGAUAGGGGUGAAAGGCCAAUCAAACUUCGUGAUAGCUGGUUCUCUCCGAAAUAUAUUUAGGUAUAGCGUUGUGUCGUAAUAUAAGGGGGUAGAGCACUGAAUGGGCUAGGGCAUACACCAAUGUACCAAACCCUAUCAAACUCCGAAUACCUUAUAUGUAAUCACAGCAGUCAGGCGGCGAGUGAUAAAAUCCGUCGUCAAGAGGGAAACAACCCAGACUACCAGCUAAGGUCCCUAAAUCUUACUUAAGUGGAAAACGAUGUGAAGUUACUUAAACAACCAGGAGGUUGGCUUAGAAGCAGCCAUCCUUUAAAGAAAGCGUAAUAGCUCACUGGUCUAGUGAUUUUGCGCGGAAAAUAUAACGGGGCUAAAGUAAGUACCGAAGCUGUAGACUUGCACACAACUUAGAUUAUUUAAGUUUAGAAUAUGAGAAACUAAGUUAUAUGUUUAGUUAUAUUUUUACUGAUUUUUAUAGAGUAAAGAUAGAAAUAAAACUUAGUAAAAUCAGUAAAAAUAUUCUUAGACUAAAGUUAAGUAGUUUAAGUUGUGUGCAAGUGGUAGGAGAGCGUUCUAUUUGCGUCGAAGGUAUACCGGUAAGGA
rnacentral:rRNA from 1 species